rnacentral:rRNA from 1 species
AAUUGAAGCAGAGGACAGUGGCGGACGGGUGAGUAACGCGUGAGGAACCUGCCUUUCAGAGGGGGACAACAGUUGGAAACGAUCGCUAAUACCGCAUGACGUGUUCGGAUGGCAUCAUCUGAACAUCAAAGAUUUAUCGCUGAAAGAUGGGCUCGCGUCUGAUUAGAUAGUUGGUGGGGUAACGGCCUACCAAGGCGAUGAUCAGUAGCCGGCCUGAGAGGGUGAACGGCCACAUUGGGACUGAGACACGGCCCAAACUCC